rnacentral:rRNA from 1 species
GAUGAACGCUGGCGGCGUGCCUAAUACAUGCAAGUCGAGCGAACAGACGAGGAGCUUGCUCCUCUGACGUUAGCGGCGGACGGGUGAGUAACACGUGGAUAACCUACCUAUAAGACUGGGAUAACUUCGGGAAACCGGAGCUAAUACCGGAUAACAUGUUGAACCGCAUGGUUCAACAGUGAAAGACGGUUUUGCUGUCACUUAUAGAUGGAUCCGCGUUGCAUUAGCUAGUUGGUAAGGUAACGGCUUACCAAGGCAACGAUGCGUAGCCGACCUGAGAGGGUGAUCGGCCACACUGGAACUGAGACACGGUCCAGACUCCUACGGGAGGCAGCAGUAGGGAAUCUUCCGCAAUGGGCGAAAGCCUGACGGAGCAACGCCGCGUGAGUGAAGAAGGUCUUCGGAUCGUAAAACUCUGUUAUUAGGGAAGAACAAAUGUGUAAGUAACUAUGCACGUCUUGACGGUACCUAAUCAGAAAGCCACGGCUAACUACGUG